rnacentral:rRNA from 1 species
AGUGAACGCUGGCGGUAGGCCUAACACAUGCGAGUCGAACGGCAGCACAGUAAGAGCUUGCUCUUACGGGUGGCGAGUGGCGGACGGGUGAGGAAUACAUCGGAAUCUACUUUUUCGUGGGGGAUAACGUAGGGAAACUUACGCUAAUACCGCAUACGACCUACGGGUGAAAGCAGGGGAUCUUCGGACCUUGCGCGAUUGAAUGAGCCGAUGUCGGAUUAGCUAGUUGGCGGGGUAAAGGCCCACCAAGGCGACGAUCCGUAGCUGGUCUGAGAGGAUGAUCAGCCACACUGGAACUGAGACACGGUCCAGACUCAUACGGGAGGCAGCAGUGGGGAAUAUUGGACAAUGGGCGCAAGCCUGAUCCAGCCAUACCGCGUGGGUGAAGAAGGCCUUCGGGUUGUAAAGCCCUUUUGUUGGGAAAGAAAAGCAGCAGGUUAAUACCCCGCUGUUCUGACGGUACCCAAAGAAUAAGCACCGGCUAACUUCGUG